ACACAUCUCCUCACUUCCCCAGCUAGCUGUUUUCCUGGAAGUUUCUCGGCUACUUGUCACCUUCAUCUACUUUACAGUUCUUUCCUUUCUGGCUUUAUAGCCAUACAGAAUAAUGCAUAGCAAUAAUUAAGCCCUGCAACAUCCCUGUCACCUAACUCAGGCAUUAAAGCAUCACCACUGUAAAAGUCUAAGAGGCUCUACUUGAGACUGAGAACAAUGACAAUGGUCAGAUACAUAUGCUACCUCAGCACACGCAGGUGAAGGAGGCCUGGAAGGAGAGCGAGGCCUUGCAGGAGGAGAGUCACGAGAAGGAGACUCAGGAGAAGGCAGACCCCAUUACCAUGACACUAGUGUGAUGUUCUGAAGUGGUCAGUCACAUCCGCUCUUCCAGUUCCUGCAGUGUAUGGGUGAGCUGCCGCCCCAUCACAGAACAAAACAGAUGUAAAACUUGGACAACUUGUCAAAAUCCAAGAGAAACCACCCUUUCCCUUCAAUAGAAGCUGGUGACCGAUAAAUCAGCUGACUGCAAUUCUUGCUGUGACUUUUGCUUUUGUCUGAAAACUUUCUCCCUCAGUUUCCUUAUUAAGAUGAUUUCGUUUUCCAGGGUUAAGAUUAGUCUAAGGACAAUACGAUUAUGCAUUUGUCAUAAUUGGUGCAGCUACAAAACA